AUACGGAGGAUCCGAGCGUUAUCCGGAUUUAUUGGGUUUAAAGGGUGCGCAGGCGGCCAUUUAAGUCAGCGGUUAAAUCGUGGGGCUCAACCCCAUUCUGCCGUUGAUACUGGGUGGCUUGAUUGCGGUCGAGGUUGGCGGAAUUCGUUGUGCAGCGGUGAAAUGCAUAGAUAUGACGAAGAACACCGAUUGCGUAGGCAGCUGACCAGACCGCAAAUGACGCUCAUGCACGAAAGUGCGGGGAUCGAACAGGAUUAGAUACCCUGGUAGUCCGCACAGUAAACGAUGAAUACUUGUUUUCGGCGAUAUAAUGUCGGAGGCAAAGCGAAAGCGAUAAGUAUUCCACCUGGAGAGUACGCCGGCAACGGUGAAACUCAAAGGAAUUGACGGGG
rnacentral:rRNA from 1 species